rnacentral:rRNA from 1 species
GACGAACGCUGGCGGCGUGCUUAACACAUGCAAGUCGAACGGAAAGGCCCUGCUUUUGUGGGGUGCUCGAGUGGCGAACGGGUGAGUAACACGUGAGUAACCUGCCCUUGACUUUGGGAUAACUUCAGGAAACUGGGGCUAAUACCGGAUAGGAGCUCCUGCUGCAUGGUGGGGAUUGGAAAGUUUCGGCGGUUGGGGAUGGACUCGCGGCUUAUCAGCUUGUUGGUGGGGUAGUGGCUUACCAAGGCUUUGACGGGUAGCCGGCCUGUGAGGGUGACCGGCCACAUUGGGACUGAGAUACGGCCCAGACUCCUACGGGAGGCAGCAGUGGGGAAUAUUGCACAAUGGGCGGAAGCCUGAUGCAGCAACGCCGCGUGCGGGAUGACGGCCUUCGGGUUGUAAACCGCUUUCGCCUGUGACGAAGCGUGAGUGACGGUAAUGGGUAAAGAAGCACCGGCUAACUACGUG